GAUGAACGCUGGCGGCGUGCUUAACACAUGCAAGUCGAACGAUGAAGCCCAGCUUGCUGGGUGGAUUAGUGGCGAACGGGUGAGUAACACGUGAGUAACCUGCCCUUAACUCUGGGAUAAGCCUGGGAAACUGGGUCUAAUACCGGAUAGGAGCGUCCACCGCAUGGUGGGUGUUGGAAAGAUUUAUCGGUUUUGGAUGGACUCGCGGCCUAUCAGCUUGUUGGUGAGGUAAUGGCUCACCAAGGCGACGACGGGUGGCCGGCCUGAGAGGGUGACCGGCCACACUGGGACUGAGACACGGCCCAGACUCCUACGGGAGGCAGCAGUGGGGAAUAUUGCACAGUGGGCGCAAGCCUGAUGCAGCGACGCCGCGUGAGGGAUGACGGCCUUCGGGUUGUAAACCUCUUUCAGUAGGGAAGAAGCGAAAGUGACGGUACCUGCAGAAGAAGCACCGGCUAACUACGUG
rnacentral:rRNA from 1 species